CUUGGUCAUUUAGAGGAAGUAAAAGUCGUAACAAGGUUUCCGUAGGUGAACCUGCGGAAGGAUCAUUAGCAAUUAACGUCCUCUGGGCGUUUAGAUCACGUACGUCCUCGACGUACGGUGUGGUGAGGCAACUCCCACUUUGGGUCGCAGCUACACCCGUGUAUACUACCUUUGUUGCUUUGGCGGGCCGCCUUCGGGCUCGGCUCCGGCUGAUCGUGCCCGCCAGAGGACUCAAACUCUUUUGUUAUAGUGAUGUCUGAGUACUAUAUAAUAGUUAAAACUUUCAACAACGGAUCUCUUGGUUCUGGCAUCGAUGAAGAACGCAGCGAAAUGCGAUAAGUAAUGUGAAUUGCAGAAUUCAGUGAAUCAUCGAAUCUUUGAACGCACAUUGCGCCCCUUGGUAUUCCGAGGGGCAUGCCUGUUCGAGCGUCAUUAUGACCAAUCAAGCCUGGCUUGGUGUUGGGGUUCGCGGUCUCGCGGCCCUUAAAUCAGUGGGCGGUGCCGCCUGGCUCUAAGCGUAGUAAUUUUCUCGCUAUUGGGUCCGGCGGUUGCUUGCCAGAAUCUCCAUCUCACGGUUGACCUCGGAUCAGGUAGGGAUACCCGCUGAACUUAAGCAUAUCAUUAAGCGGAGGAAAAGAAACCAACAGGGAUUGCCUCAGUAACGGCGAGUGAAGCGGCAACAGCUCAAAUUUGAAAUCUGGCUCUUUUAGGGUCCGAGUUGUAAUUUGUAGAAGAUGCUUUGGGUGAGGCUCCGGUCUAAGUUCCUUGGAACAGGACGUCAUAGAGGGUGAGAAUCCCGUACGUGACUGGUUGCCUUCGUCCGUGUAAAGCUCUUUCGACGAGUCGAGUUGUUUGGGAAUGCAGCUCAAAAUGGGUGGUAAAUUUCAUCUAAAGCUAAAUAUUGGCCAGAGACCGAUAGCGCACAAGUAGAGUGAUCGAAAGAUGAAAAGCACUUUGGAAAGAGAGUUAAACAGUACGUGAAAUUGUUGAAAGGGAAGCGCUUGCAACCAGACUUGCGCGCUGCUGAUCAUCCGAGGUUUUCCCCGGUGCACUCGGUAGCGCUCAGGCCAGCAUCGGUUUUGGCGGGCGGAUAAAGGCCUUGGGAAUGUAGCUUCUUUCGGGGAGUGUUAUAGCCCUCGGUGCAAUGCGCCCUGUCGGGACCGAGGACCGCGCUUCGGCUAGGAUGCUGGCGUAAUGGUUGUAAGCGACCCGUCUUGAAACACGGACC
rnacentral:rRNA from 1 species